GAUGGACUUGUGGGUUGCCCUUCACCCUGAUCUUUCGUCGAGACCAGAGUACUAUGAUGCAAUAUUGAAUGGUCUCGAGAUCUUCAAGAUACAGAAUUAUGGAAAUAACAGUCUUAAUGGGCUCAACCGUCCCAUUCCAUCUGUUGAACCUGAUGGGAAGCCUGGUGUAAGAAACUCAAAGGUUGCUGCACCAGCAGCCAUUGGUGGAGCUGUUGGUGGCUUUGUUGUGCUACUGAUUGCCUCUAUUGGUGUGUGCAUCAUCUGCAGAAGAAAGAAGAAGGUAGCCAAGGAAUCUGGGAAAUCUGAUGAUGGUCACUGGACUCCUCUCACUGAUUACAGCAAGUCACAAUCAAACACCUCAGGAAAGACAACCAACACAGGGAGCCGCACAUCGACGUUGCCAUCUAAUCUUUGUCGUCAUUUCUCAUUUAGUGAAAUCCAGGCUGCAACCAAUAAUUUUGAUCAAACCUCACUCCUUGGCAAAGGUGGGUUUGGGAAUGUGUACCUUGGAGAGAUAGAUAGUGGCACAAAGGUGGCAAUCAAGCGUGGCAACCCAAUGUCUGACCAGGGUGUUCAUGAGUUCCAGACUGAGAUUGAGAUGUUGUCAAAGCUCCGUCACCGCCACCUUGUGUCAUUGAUUGGGUAUUGUGAGGAUAUGAAUGAGAUGAUUUUAGUGUACGACUACAUGGCCAAUGGAACUCUUAGGGAGCACUUGUACAACAGCAAGAAGGCACCACUCUCAUGGAAGAGUCGGCUUGAGAUCUGCAUCGGUGCAGCUCGGGGUCUGCAUUACCUUCAUACAGGUGCAAAAUAUACCAUCAUACACCGAGACGUCAAGACCACCAAUAUUUUGUUGGAUGACAAGUUGAUUGCUAAGGUUUCUGACUUUGGCCUGUCGAAGACUGGUCCAAAUGUCGAUAACACUCAUGUGAGCACAGUUGUGAAGGGAAGCUUUGGAUACCUCGACCCUGAGUACUUCCGACGGCAGCAGCUCACUGAGAAAUCUGAUGUCUACUCGUUUGGGGUUGUGCUGUUUGAGGUCCUCUGCGCGCGCCCUGCCCUGAGCCCCUCACUUCCAAAGGAGCAAGUGAGCCUUGCCGAUUGGGCACUGCACUGCCAGAAGAAAGGCAUUCUUGGCCAGAUCAUCGACCCAUAUCUCCAAGGGAAAAUUUCUCUCCAAUGCUUCAUGAAAUUCGCAGAGACCGCAGAGAAGUGUGUGGCUGAUCACAGCAUUGACAGGCCAUCUAUGGCCGAUGUCCUCUGGAACCUUGAAUUUGCACUCCAGCUGCAGGAGAGUGCAGAGGACAACAGCAGCCUCACCAAUGGGACAUCAUCAAACACAUCACCACUUAUCGUGCCCAGGCUUCACUCGGAUGAACCACCGACAGACACAACCACUACCACAUCAACCACAAUGAGCUUGACAGGGCAGAGCCUUGCAAGUAUGGAGUCAGACGGGCUGACCCCAAGCAGUGUCUUCUCACAGCUCAUGAAUCCAGGUGGCCGGUGAAAGCCAACUGUAAGCUAGAAUUGCAGUUAAUAUCUUCAGAUUUGCUAUGUAUUUCCAGCUUCGUGGUAUAUAUAACUAACUAGUAUAUUUAUCAUAUAGACAUGUUCAGCUCCUAUUAUAUAGAACCGGUAUAUAUUUUUGUCUAGUCGAAAUCACUGUAAUUGUAUAGCUAUUGCCAAGGUACUGUGUUUUCCAUUAUCAUUGAAAAGCUUUUAGAGAUAUGAAUCUCACUUAAGGAUCGAUUUGUAAAAUUUACAUGUGCAAGCAAGGUGUCACUAUUUAGUUCCCCUGACAGCAAUCUCCUUUACUUAAUAGUACACGAAUCGGGAGACAUACAAGGUUAAAAUGGGUUACUGACUGCAACAUGUGGUCAAAUGGGCAACUGACUGCAACAUGUGGAAAUCUGUAUUUUCAUUUCUUAGACCAAAAUGCCUCUGUCGCAGAUACAAACUUAGUUCAGUGCAGUAUUUGACUAUCAGACCAUAGUAGUCAUAGCAAAACCUGUUGCUACCACCUUUCCAUCUGUCUGUGUUCAUGUGUAUAGUACACAGAGAGCCUGCAUUGUGAUCGUGUCCACUAUUAACUUGAGAGGCACUGCCAUAUGAAAUUAUCAGAACAUACUACAUGACACUGCAUUGUUAAAUUACCAUCUAGCAAUGCCUCAACUUCAAGUCCAUGAGCUUCUUGGUUGAAAAGGACAUGUCAAAAAGGGAAAGCAUGGUUAUUGAUAGUAGAAAUAUCAUAAUUAUGUAUUAUCCAUUUUGCAGCAAAUCGGAAAAGGUUUUCUUGUUUGUGCUAGCUGUUUUAUCUCCUCCAUGCUGAAAUCACGGAAUGAUGCAAACUGUUCCCACAAUUGCUUAAGGUCUAGGUCACUGAAUUUUAUAUAAAUAGCCCAUGAGGCUCUUUAUAGAUCAAUCUACAAUUUGCCCUAUAUUUUCAUAUUGUCACUGGUAUAGCGCUGCUGUCUCCACAGCUUCCGCCACACCGACCCCACCCAUGUCUGAUCUCUCAGUGGCUGGAAACCUGCGACCUGGAUUUUAGGGUUCAUGCAUGCCACCGACCACUGAUUGGCCUAGAGUUGUUACCGAUCUUUUUUACAUAGGAUUUUUCUCUAUUUUUUCCGAUCAUAAAUUUGUUUGCAUAAUCCUGCUGACCCGUCAGUACACCACAUUUCGGACUUCGACCUCUCCAAUGCUUCCUAGCUUGCUUCAUUCUUUAUGCAAUACAAUCUUUGUAAACCUCGCUUGCCUUAUUCUUAAAUGAAUCAGCAGUACUGCUAGGUCGAUCCAGCCAUGGGCGCCCUAGCCAUGGUGAUAUUGUGCCGGGGUGCCACCUGAUCCAUGCGGUGGACAUAGGUUAUUCUUAUUUACUUAUUUAUUUUUAUCCUCUGUUAUCAUCUAAACUUACUCUAGAGUUCUGCGGUAUAAAGUUAAGCUAUUUUGUAUGCUUUCUUAUGCAAUCAACCGUUUUAAUUGAUUUGGCUCAAAUACAAUCUGAUCCAAUUACUUGGAUAUAUAGUUAUGUUCAACUUUUUAAUUAUCUCAUUUGUUAAAAAAAAUGCGAAUUGAUGGUCAUGUUCGAAUUGACAUAAGUCUUCUUUGGUUCCAUCCAUUAUAAAAAGCAUGUCAGAACCACGUAUCAAAUAAAAUUUACUGUAUGUUAUAUGCAACAGAAAAAAUACACUAAAAUGAAAUGAAGAAUCCAAUCACUAGAAGAAAAGUGGGUCAAUCGUCUAUAGUUAUUUUGCAUACUCUAUUUUGAGUAUCCCGACAUCACAAAUACUUGGAUUUUUUUGGCCUAUUUAGUUUGUCUGAAAUGUCAUAUUUAAUUGAUCGGAUAGUAGCAGUUACUUCAUCUUAUCUUUUUUUUUAAGUAAUGCAUGCAACCCAAGAUCCGUACUUUCUAAUAUUUGACCGACCUUGUUUUUUAAAUUCGUAGAUUACUAUAUAUACAAAUUAAUUUCAUGAGCAUAAAUAUUUUAAUAUACUCUGAGUCAAACCGUAGCGGUUGGAGACCGUAUCAAGUCAAACCAUACUUUACAUUUUCAGAAAGAGGAAGUAUGCACUGCUUCUUUGUAAUCGAAUUUCUAUUUUGGUAAUUCGGUUGAGUGCAUUUUGCAUCGGGGAUAAAUUAAUUGGAUUUUACUAUUACUAAUUGGAGGCUCCUUUUGAAACCUUCAAGUGAAUCCACCUAGGAUUCCUAGACGAACACUUUAGAAAAAGAGAGAAAUCCUAAAAAUUCUUAAAAAAAGCAAAAUAUCCGGCCAUUUCUAAAAUUACCCACCUAUAAUUAACAAAAAUAAUCCCAUAUAUCUAUGUCUAAAUACCCACAUAUGCCACUAUAGAAAAAUUUUAAUCUAAACGAUCUGCCGGUCACAUCUUACAUAAUAAAUCUCUUUGCUUGAAAUAAAAUAAAAAAUCAUCUAACUAUCAUGUCCUGCCGGUCACAUGUGACGCAAUUAAUCUCGUGCCCUUAAUCUCUCUCACAUUUCACUAGUAGAAAAUUGGCUUUCGAUGUGCCCCCUUUUGUCCCGGUUUAAAGUUGGUCCGGGAUAAAAGGUUUACCAACCGGGACUAAAGCUCGGUCACUGGUGGGGGGCUCACCAACCGGGACCUUUUAUCCCGGUUGCAAAGGCUAGUGGGAAAAAAAGAUCCUGAGAGGCCUUUUAUCCCGGUUUGAAACACCAACCGGGAUAAAAGACCCCCCCUUUAUCCCGGUUGGUAACACCAACUGGGAUAAAAGGGUCGAGAGCCUUUUAUCCCGGUUUGUAAUACCAACCGGGAUAAAAGGGGGUCAUUUAUCCCGGUUGGUGUUUCAAACCGGGAUAAAAGGGUCUCAACAAGGUGACUGAAAGAGAACUAAAUCCCUCGAACCCUUUUAUCCCGGUUUGUAAUACCAACCGGGAUAAAAGGGGGUCUUUUAUCCCGGUUGGUGUUUCCAACCGGAAUAAAAGGGUCCCCAUGAGUUAAUACAAAAGGAUAGCAUCCCCUAUAUAGUCCCGGUUGAGUGACCCGGGAUAAAAGAUCCCCCCUUGUCCCGGUUGGUUUAUCCUGGAUGGAUUUUCAGGAGAUUUGCACCCUACCAACCGGGACUAAAGGCCAAUUCUCUACUAGUGUUUAAAUCAUAAAAAAGAGUCUAUCAUGAAAGGCUAACAAACAAACUAGAUACGUACGUGCAUAUAGAUAUGCCUGCCGAUCAGAUGUAGCGUAAUCUCUUGUCUUCAAUCUUUCUCCCAUAUUUAAAUCAUAAAACAAUCUAUCCUAAAGGGUUGUUAGCUAAUACAAUUAACAAAUUAGAUACUAUAAAAAGAGAGGUGCCGUCUUUCCCAAAACAACUCUUUUCAUUUGUGUACUGCUUCAUCAACUAGGGCCUGCUGCUACUUUCAUCAACAGAACUAGGCCCUGCUACUAUUCAACAGAAAGGUACGAUCAACUUGCCUUGAACUGUUAUUCCUAUUGAAGGUUCAAGUGCUACGGCCAGGUAACCUUUUAGACCUUUCAAAUCUCAAUUUGUUUAAUUUCCCUUCUAUAAUUAGAUUAAUUUUUCAUGGCAGGUGUUACGCCUACUAAACCAUUUGUUUAUUGUUUGGCCUGCUACGUGCUAGGUAUAGAUGACUUCGGAUUGAUCAAAAUCUGUGAUAUUGUGCUCAUGAUCGAGUAGGAAGUUAAUUCAUCUUUCUCUCAUCCAAAACAGCUACAAAACUUUCAAUGAUUACAUGCAUGCUACAGAACUUCUGUUGAACUCAAAAUAUCUUCUAUAGUGCUCUUCCAAACAAUUUAAUUUGCAGUCAGAUAUUUAAAUACAAAAUUUUAAAUUUGUAGUGACCAUGAAGUUAAAGUUUAAUUUCGGGGAGACAAAGUUGAGGAGGUUGAUGAUAGGACAAAAUCCCAUGUCAUCGCAAUAACAUCUACAACUGUGAGGAAAUUUAGCACUAAGUCAUCAUUUAAUAUGAGCUAUUCAAUAUUUUUCAUUCAACAAACUAACCUCCUAAGAAAUUAAAUUAUUGAUAUUUUCUCAGGGUAAUCAAUAUCAUCAACCAAUGCAACAAAAGUUUAUGUAGAUCUACCUAUUCCUGAAACUAAGGAUGCACACGACAGGUAAAACAAAUUUAGAUAUUUGUUUUCUAUUUAAGCUAUGUAGCAUGCACUCUAACAUGAUAAAUUCUUUUGUAUGAAAAAAGCGUUAGUUCAAUUGAUAAUAUUAUCAAAGAGAGAUUCAUAUUGAGGAUCAUCUAAAAGGGACAUUGGAAGACCAAAUACAGUACAACAGAAGAACUUUAGAAGAAUUGAAUUCGAUAUUAUUUGACAUAUCAAAUCAGGUAUGCGUUAGUUUGUUCAUUAUAGAUUAUCCUGUUUAAAGACUUACAUACAUACUGAUGGUAUUGUUUCUACUUACAGGAUAAGAUAUUUACCGUUGAAGCAACAAUAAAUGAAACUAAUGCAACAUUUUGGUUUGAACUACAUCUCAUGUAGUAGAGGCGAUUGUAAUAAGCAACUUGAAAAGAAGUUUGAUCACUACUAUUGCAAUAAAUAUGACAAGAGAGUUGAACCUAAAGCACAGUAAAUUAUUUAGUACUUUACAAUCUUAUUAUAGUACCCAUAUUUCUAAUAGGAGAAAAAUAUCUGCAGAUAUAAAAUUAAGCUUCAAAAAGGUGAUCCAACAGCAGUUGCAACUUGUGUAGCUUUUGACAAGGAAGCACAAAUGGUAAUUAAUGAAUCGGCAGUAUGUGGACAAACAUUGAUUUUUUAGUUCAGAAUGACCGAGUACAAUUUGACAAGUUUUUGACCUGAUUAUACUGUUCCAAAGAUACUUUUACAACAGAAAAGAUCAGUUCAAGAAUUGAAAUGCAAAGUGUCAAAAAGGUAACACAUUUUCAUUAUUACUAAGUAGUUUAUUGCACCUUUUCUUUUGAAUCCUUACUAUUUGAUAAGUUUACUGUAUCGCUGAAACAAAUUCUGACCUAAAUUUAUUUUCUUUUUGAUUAUUUGAAGGAAGUAGAAGACAACUCAUACAAAGGAUGCACAAUAACUACUGAAAAUGAAGAGGUAGACACUGACGACUCUUUUACCAGAAAAAAUAGUUGUAGAAGAAGACACAAGAGAUGGACACGUUGAAAAAAGGAUAAUAUUAUCGUCUCCUUUACAAGGGCGCACUAUUUACAGGGGACAAAACUACCAAUAUGCUAUGAUGAUAUGUCAUUCUAUUCAACACCUUAAACUAUUUGUGUCAUUUAUGUGUAACGUCGUUGAGGAAGAAGAAGGUCAAAGACCAUUACCUAACAUCAACAGUACAGUGUUUCAAGAUAAGAUGAAGAAAUUGAUGAGACACAUAAAACGUGGACUACAAUGUAGGGAACCUAUUGCAGGUAAAUAUGAACAUCUCAUAUUCAAGUAUGCUGCUAAUUAUUCAUUUAUAGGUGAGCUAACAAUAUCCAUUUUCAAUGUAGAUAUCUACAUGAUUGAGUUCCAAAAGACGGGCCUCCCACAUGCUCAUAUACUUAAAUUUGAUUAAUAUCUGCUACAUUGGGAAGUACCGAGGAGACACAUGAAACAUAUUGAUUUUCCUUUUUUUAUUAUCAUUGUACUUAUUACCAAUUUUAAAGAAUAGUAUCCACUAUAAAAAAUGUAUUGGUCUCACUACCAAUCAUAACAACCAAUGCUCAUUAAUGUAUUAUGUACUAUUUAAAUUAUAUGAUGUCAUAAGCAUAAAGAAAAUAACACAUAAAAGAAAGCAAAAAAUAGAAAAUAUUAUUGAUUGUUCUCCCUAAUCUAAAUAAUAACUUAUAAGUACUAGCCCGUGCGGAUGCACGGGUUGAUGGACUAUUUUGCUAAUGAAAAUCCAGCCCGGCCCGAAGCAUGGCCCAGCAAAAUGAUUGGAAACUUGCAAUGGAUUCCUUUUACCGGCGUUGGAAUCCUUACCUGAUCCGUCCCACGUGAAAUCUAGCGGCGCCGGUUACCAUCGCAGUGAUGCCUAGAAAACCCCCAUUGACCCCUGUGCCCUAGCAUCGAUCCCCCACAUUGCCGUCACGCCGACAACCCCCUCCGCGCCUUGCAACCGCCGUUCCGCCGAAAUCCCCUCCGCGCGUCGCAAUGCCAUCGAGGAAGAAGAAGCAGCAGGCCCAGAAGGCGGCGAAUGAAACGGUGAGCGCCAAGUGUUACUCGGCCAUGGAGGUGGAUCCCGCCAAAGAAGACCUCAGCCUCCUGGAGGCCCUCAGGUAUACCACUUGUACUACACAUCGAUCGCGCGCGCACCUGCAUCCUUUGUUCUGAUGAUUGUCCAGAAAAGAUUUAAUCUUUGUCAAACGAGCAAGGUAACUAAUAAGGCGAUCGAUGACGCGAGUGCGCGACAACACACGGCGUACCUGAUAGGCCAAUAUCUGUAGAUAAACAAAUCUUGGGGAUUGCUGGCGGCUUAAGAUUUGCGUAGAUCUGAGCUACGUUAACGAAACUCAUGAUGGAUUGAAACACGCGCGGUGCUGAUUAUGUGCUUGCAGCAUAUUAUUCCAUAGGUCUGAUUUUGCCCAUGUACGCCAUCGUUUUGGCCAACACUUAAUUGUUGGGCAGUGCAGUGAUUUUAUUAGGUCUCUGGUAGGUUUCCGGUCCUAGCAAUCACUGCUGCAUGCUAAUUAGGUUCAUAGUGCUUGAUCAAUAACCACGUGCCAUUGAUUCGAUUUGGUGUCGGUACAUAUGAAUGUACUUGGUGAUUCGGUAUAACAUGUAUACAAAUUGAUGGUUAAACUAAGAGAAGCUUUCACUAAUCUGAUCUUGCUUGAAUCAAUACAGAGAACCAUUGCAAAUUCCGUUUUUUUAGUGUUUACAGACUAUAUUCUUCUGCAUAGGUUGCACUUGCACAUUACGCUCUCCACGGAUUUUCUGUGGAUAAUCUUAUACUUGGUACCAAUUUUAAAUUGGUGCUCUGCUUUUUCAUAUUCAUGUUUGUGUGGUUCACCAUGCAGUAAUUUUUCAAUUAGGUUUUAUUGUCUGACUAUUUGAUGUAACUGUUGGCUCAAAUGGAUCAUUUUCUCAUUAACCUAAGGGCAAUAGCCCAGUUUUGGAACACAUAUUGGUAAUAGAGCUACUAGACUUAACUAACAAUCUCCCCCUAAGUCUAGCAGCUUUUACGUAGAAAUGAAAGUAUAAUUGGUGAUAAGGUGCACAUAGGCACGAACCACCCAUGGAUACUAGUGCUCACAGGCAUUACUAGUAUAUUAUUCUAUCACCAUAAAGACUUAACCCUUCCUGCGGUUGCCUUGACGCUCCCUUCCUCAACAAACUUGAGCGGACUUACUAUCAAGCGUCCAUCUGCAUGUGCCAGGCCGCGUGUCCCUCAGUCUCAGCAAAGGAGCGAGACUCACCGUCGUCGCGCGUCAGGUAAUGGUCCUGUCCUGGCACUGGAACUCACCGAGCAGUCCAGUCAAGAGCUCGCCAUAGCCACACAGGGACUAAGGUAGGCACGCUCGGCGAAGAAGAGCUGCCCACUCCCACAGGUCCCACAGCCACCAUCCACCAUCUUGCCCUGCACCAUCUCCUUGGUGCUGAGCUAUGCCUCCUCCAUGUAGAGGACGUAGAGGUUGUUCUUCCCCUAUCCACCUUGGCAAGGAGGCGGCAGCAGCGAUCCCAGAUGCGGAGCACUCCGCUGUCAAUCUCCACGCGCGACCCGUUCUCAUCCAGCUGCCUGAGGCUAAUGAUCGAGUUCCUCAGUGUGGGAAUGUAGUAGACACCAGUGAGGAGCCGGUGCUUGCCAGUCUUGGCGAUGAGGAUGACAGAGCCCACGCCCUUGAACUCCACAGCCGAAGAGUUGCCAAACUUUACGGAGCUGCGCACGUCAACAUUCAAGUUGGAGAAGUACUCCAGGCCCCCAGUCAUGUGGUGUGAGGCACCACUAUCCAGAAACCAACCAUUAAUCUUGUCGUCGCUGGUACUGUCGUGGAGGGAGACGUGUGCGCGCGGCUCGUUGAGGUGGAGGACAGCCGUCGCGGUGCCGUGGGAAGAAGCUCGAUGGUCCCGUGAGGCAGGAACAGAGCCGGUUCUUCCUCCUCCUCCUCCUCCAUAGCCUGCACAACAUGGGCCUAGCUGAGCCUCGGCUGGCGGCACUCCCUAGCCUGGUGGCCAGUCCUGCCACAGUUGUAGCAAGUGUCAUCUUGUGCAGCCUCGUGCUCGCUGGCGGCACCGCCCUGGGCGCCUCCUCGCGCCUUGGGUGCUGCUUGCCGUGCUUAUGGCCGCCUAUCGAGAAAGAAGAUUCCCCUCCUUCCGCUCCUUUUGGCAGGCGAGCCACCUCUCCUCGGUGAGGUGGAGCUGACCACCGAAGAUGAUCUCCCCACCAGAAGAAGGCUCGUCGCGUUCAUCGAACGCCUUGAGUCAUCCCAUCAGCUCCUUGAUCGACAACGUUGAGAGGUCGAGUAGCGUCUCGAUGGAGAUAGCGAGCUGGGUCGCGGCUGCUGCUGCCGCCUGUGCCUCCUCCAUGGCUAGGCAGCCUGCCUCGGCUGCACGCGCUGCCGCAGCCUCUACAGCCGCCGCGUGUGCUGCUCGAGCUGCAGCCACCUCUCGCACCUCGGCGAUGCGCAACGCCGCGCCGCGGCGCUGGUCCUCUCGCCUCACGGCCUCCGCCCGCCGCUCCUCCUCCUCACGGGCUGUAGCCGCAUGCCGUGCCCAUCGCCGCUCCACUGCUUCCUGCUCCUCGGCUGCAAUGCGCUACUCCUGCUCCUAACGCGCUGUGCCGCCGCCGUCGCCUCCUCCUCCUCCUCACGCUGCUCCUCCUCGGUCGUUGCCCUGUGGCGCCACGCACUGCUCGGUGGGAGGAGGUACGGAAGGAGCCCCUGAAGCAGGUCGGGAGUGCCGGCACCACGUCGGCCACCAGAGCCGCUGCGCCGCCCGUGGCCGGUGCUUUCCUAGAGCCAGCCAUGGGGAAGGUGAAGGAGAACCGGUUGGGGAAGAGGUCGAGGGAGAAGUCACGAGCUGCUCUGCGCACUGCUCCUGGCUGCCACGCGCAUCCUGCUGCCGAGCCACCCCCGCUCGCUGCUGCUCCAGCUGCCACACGUCGCCUGCCUCGUCCACCCGCGUGUUGCGAGCCACUGCCGCCACUGCCCUAGAGCUGCGCGAGCCCGAGCAGUCGCCGCCUGCCUUUGAUUCGCGCCGUCCCGAUCCGUAGGGGAAGAGGCUGCGCGCCGCCACCUUGAUCCGUAGGGAAAGAGGCCGCCGACGCCCGAUCCACGCGCGGGACAGGUGGGGAAGGUGCUCCGUCGGCUGGAUCUGGCCGGGAGAGCGCGCGUUGCUGCCGUGGGAGUGGGCCCUACGGGCUAGGGUUUUGGGCUAGGACGAGAGGGUGGAGAAUGGGAGAGGAGAGAGGGGGUGAGAAAGAUGGGCUCUAGAUACCAAUUGUUGGCCCAAAUGGAUCACUUUCUCAUUAACCCAAGAGCAAUAUCCCAGUUUCGGUAUAUAUAGGCUGCUAACCAAGAGGCAGCUUGGUGGCUAACCAAAGGGGUAAAAUAGGAAUAAAAGCUGAUAUAGCUACUAGAGUUAACUAACAGUUACUACCCCAUAUUGUUUUAUUUGACAUUGGUUAGUUCAAAAAAGAAUUAACCAACGUUGGAGGGAGUAUUUAACUUGUUUAUUUGCUCAUUAUGCUCAUUUUUUUCCUUGUUUAUUUGUUGAUCUACUUUCUCUUAGGGAGAAGAACAAGGAUGCAUUGAGACAUGUCCUUGAUCCCAGUUGUGGACCCUUCAAAUCCAGCAAGCCCAAUACAGAUGAAACAGUCUGGUAUCUCACCAGUAGCUCUCAUCAUAUGACUGGUAAUCUUGACCUAUUGACUGAUGUUACUCCAGUGUAUGAUCGCUGGAUACGAAGCAUCCUGGGAAUAGGACCGCCAGCGCAAGUCCUGGCCCAUGGAUCAGUUAACAGCAAUGGCAUCAUUCUCCACGAUGUUUGGUUUGUUCCAGACAUCAACGUGAAUGUUGUAUCUCUCCCUCAACUUGGUUUAGAAUGGCAUAUGGAUGCAGAUCAUUGUUUGCUCAGACGUUCUGAUGACCAAGCAGUGGUGGGGACAGGUCAUUUGGGAACUGAUGGAUUGUAUGAGCUUGACUUCAUCAAUCUCAGUAGGUAAGUUGCCAGUACUUCAAUGAGUUAUUUUUCUAUCAGAAAUUCUCAUUUCGCUAUUCCGUUUUGCUGAAUUACUGAAUAUGCGUACUCUGAUCACCAAAGAGGACAAUUUUCUAGUUUUAUUUAUGAACUGAGGAUUAUACAUGUUCUCAGAUCUUCCAUUGUUAAUAUUGUUGACGAACUGAGGCAUAUGUUCAGCGUCUCCCAUUGUUUAAUAACCAAGCAAAUAUGACCCGCAUUGGUUGUUGUAUCAUUAUUUUAACUUUUUGUUUCAUAAUAUAUGCAAACUACCGACUCAUAGUUACUCCUUUUUUCUGACAUACGUAUCAGAGGACCUGUCUGGUACAUUGCUUCAAAUGUGAGUCAGCACAUGACAGGUGAUCUGCAUCUCCUCACUGACUUCAUCCCCAUCCGACCAAGUCAUACGGUUAAGACGCACACGGGGGCGAGGCUGCAGGUGUGCGGCAAGGGAUCAGUGAAAACUGGGCCAUUCAUGAUCCCUGACGUAUGCUAUGUCCCUGGCCUUGGGUGAGAACAUCAUCUCGAUCAGCCAGCUCACUGAUACUGGUUUCACCCUCAUAUUUGGCGCUGAUAGAUUCGCCGUGAAGAAACUUUGCGAUGGAAAUUUAGUUGGCUAUGGCACCUAUGGCGGGAACCAGCUGUUUCACCUGGAUUCUCUCAAGAUCCCCACCAACAAGUGACAGUGUGCCUGUAUCUUGCUAUGAACCUACAGAUAUGAACUUGAACUCGCCUUAUACAUUCUUCACGUACGAGAGGUGGACAUAUGUUACGCCAGUAAACGUCUAUACUUCUGUUAUAUAUAUAUGCUCUUUUAAAGGCUGGGUCUUCCUGCAUGACCGUCUCUCUAAACUUUUAAUGCGAAUAACUGUUGGAUUUCCAAAUUGAUGCAUUUGAAGCUAAAUGUGUCUCCUUUCUGUAAGUUUGUGAAUCAUCUCUAGGAAAUGGAUGUUGCUUCGUGCAUAAUUUAAUGAUGAUUUACGUUGUCACAAUCAUAAUUUGGUGUUGUGGCAACAUGUUUGCAACUUAAAACAAUUUAGACUUUUGGCUGGCCCAAUGUGCCAGACACUUCCAAAAAUUCAAAUAUAUCUCAAAUCCAGAUUUUAGCAUCUGUCGACGAAUUCCUUCAUCUAAAAAAUGCAUAUGUCAACGAAGACUAGUUAUAAUUUGUGGACCUCUGGAUGAGAGUUGUAUGGUUCAACAUGUGAAUGGUAAUAGCUGUCCAGAUCAAAUACAGGGAUUAAGCAUGCGAAUGGUACUGACUGAUGUACUCCCUCCUUCAUCCCAAAUUAUAGAUCUUUAGAUUUUUAACAUUGUGAGCACCAAAUUGUUAAUAAACAUAGUAAGCACCAAAUGGUUCCUUUCACAGUAAUUGCUCACCUUUACAUGCAAAUGUACUGGCAAAUGGCAAUGCAUCACGAGCCAAUAACCUUCUCUUUACUGCAAAGGCAGAUCAUGAAGGGGGAGCAAUCAUGAUUAUUUUGUAGUGGAAAUAUCGCAAUUCUACAUCCAUUUACAAUAAAUUCGAAAUGGUUAUCUUCCCUGCGCUACCUGCUUUUAUCUCCUCCAUGCUGAAUCUGCUACCUCGCGCCCACACGGCUAAUGCCAAUGCAACUAAGUAAUUAAUUAACCGCAGAAGUUUUUUUAACAAAACAAUGGGAGUUGUAACGUUUUUCAGAUAAUGGAUGACGUAUUUCUAGCUUUACAUCCUCAGGAUCACAGGAUGCAUAAGACUACAAUUAUUACACAAAAUGGCUUAGAGUGCCCACGUUGCCAUUACUAGGGAUGAAAGCGGUCGGGAACGGUCGGGAAAACCUUAACCAUUCCUGCUACUGCAGGAAAGCCGGAUGGAAAAAAUGAAAUUGAUAUUACAGGAUAUAAACGGAACAUUUCGAUCGGGAACAUGUCGAUUACGAUAGGGAAUCGAUAAGUCAAAACGGGAACACCAUGAUACAUAAUGACUCCAAACAGCUAAAUAGUAAACACACAUACCACACCAUUACAACAUUACUUAGUCAUAGACACACGGCACACAACCUGGAGACUCCAGCUAGAGUUCCAGACAUACAUCAUGAUUCACAGAUGGCAAGUCCAAAUAAAAAAAACAUACAUGCCACAAUGGGCAGCAGCAGCCAACAAAACAAAGUUCAGAAAGGAUAGCAACUCAGUAGGCUCGCGAACUGUGGCAGAGGGGUGGGAGCCUGGCAUCCUAGCUGCCGAGGGUGACCGGCCAACAGCGGAGUGGCUAGGCUGCCUAGGGAACCGGCCGGUGGCGGUGGGGAUGGGGGCCUGGCCGCCAGGCCCCUGGGGCGACCGGUCGGCGGCGGCGGAGUGGCCUAACCGCGGCCUCUUUGGGCACCCAACUGGGGGCGGAGUAGCCUGAGCGCCUGGAGCCCGGAGGCCUGGGCUUGGGGGUGGGCGGCGGCGGUCGACGAAGAAGGUGACUCAGAAGAUCUCUUAUGGCCUCAGACUUGAAGAUGUGAGAAGAGAGAGAGAGAGAGAUUGGAGUGCGGCGGCGGCUUAGGAAUCGAUGCGGAGCUGGGGACGGGGAGGGGGUAGUCAUGACGUGGUGGCGUGGGGUGGCUGAGGCGGGCCUUAGGGUUCGAUGAUGGGCUAAAGUGCUAGGCCGAGCGAAGGAGUUGGCUGAGUUUGGGGACUAAAUACAUGAAACAACCGCAGGAUUUUUCCCGGCCAAAUAUGGGAACUGACGAUACGGUUGGGAAAAGGCCCCGACCGGUUCCGCUCCCGGUUUCACCGGUUUUUCCCAGUUUCCUAUUUUUCCUAUGAAAAUAAUAUCUGAUCGGAAUCUACAAUAUACUUGGUGCCGGUCGGUACGGGAUUUUCCCGUCCUGUUUUCAUCCCCUAGCCAUUGCUCGACACAUUAAAAUGAAUUGAAGCUUUGAUAGUUUCACCACUACAUCUGAUUCAUCUAAUUCAAUCUACUUGUGUUUUCUUGUUCUCUCUCUCGAAACAACUAUCUUGCCAUUAAUGAAUAAAUAGUUGUACUUGUUGUGCUACUAGUUGAUUGAGUGGCUGUUAAGUUCAUUUCUUAUUGCCUUCCUUUCUCUAGUCCUUUCUUUUUCUUUUCUUACAUCUUCAAUUUACAUUGCCUGCAACCAAUCCACAGAAAUGAGAUACAUCAGAUCAAUAUAGUACUCACAUGCAUGUGCAUCUGUACAACUGUAAAGGAACUGAAAGUAGAAGGAAUUGUGAUAGUACUACAUCCAUCUUUUUCUUGUUAGAACAAUCCUGGCACUUUCAGUCAAAAAACAGUUGAGACUUGCUAUAGCAGCUACUGACCAAUCUGUAUAACUUACAUGUUUGACUUUACUCAAAUUAAAACUUCUAAUCAAAAUCCUAUCCAAGUAUUGGGCGUUGCUACCACUGAUCUGAAGCACAGAGAGCAAGGGCUUAAGUCAGACACCUAUCAGGCAUUUCAGAUGCGCGCAUAUACUUUGACGAAGUUGAUAUCAAUGCUUUUUUAAGAACAGAAUCCACCAUAUACUUUGGAGAAGUACAUAUUGCCGUUUGGUUUCAUAAGAAGAGGGGGAGAAGAAAAAUAGCUAAGAGAUAGAGUACCUGACCUUGAUCAUUGUGGUUCCAUUCUCACAGACUCUGUGUAUAUCCUCAGAGCCAGCUAUUUUCUAAAGAUUUUAUACUCUGCAAAUAGAACAACAUGAGUUCAGUUGAAAUACACAGACUUUAUCCAUUAUAUAUUUAUAUACAUCGCACAAGUCAUGUUCUCAUGAGGUGAAAUAUCAAACUAUGUUCUCAUGGGAAUCUGGAAUGACAUGCUAUAGAUGUUACAAGACUCCUAACACAUGCAGCUAAAAAGAAGAAGAAAAGGUUGACCUAAGCCUGCCAUAGCUUGGACUGUUGGCUUCUAUCUGUCCAGCUUGACUCUUAUAGUAAGGAAUCUGAAAUGAAUAAACAAUGCUAGAGUCAAACUUGGUAAAUAGCAAGAACCCUGGAAUGAAUGCAGUUUGCUCUCUGCAUAACUUCAGCUAGAAUUAUGUGUUCAUUUCUAAAUAUAAAAAUAACUUGGACAGAGCAUUUUCUGUGUAUUCAGAUAUUCAGGUAUGGCACUAGGAGCAAAAGCACUAGCAGAUAUUCAGCGCAUUACAAGGCAUGAACAACUUCCUAUAGUAUAUAGAAAAUUCAAUUGUCCAACAUUUAGCCUAAUAUAAUUGAAAUGUUCAAUUAACCAUGAUACGCUACUUUUGGAACAGGAAGCUCUAUUUCUUCCACUUUCCCUUUUAUAACAAUUAUUAGGACGGUCAGAAAAUUAAUGUUAAUGGAUCAUAGCCAAAUAUGCAUUAUCUAUCUAUACUAUAAAUAAAGCAUGAAUUGCUUUGAAUAUGCAAGACAGGAAAAACUCACCAUUAGAAUGUCCAUUUGUGUUCACAAUUUCCUUUGCCAUAUCUGCCAUUUCAGAACAUUCAAUCUGUAAGAACAGAUCAAUAUAUUAGUAAAAGAGAACAUACUCAAGAUCAGAAACAACACUUGCACUGGUUCACAUAACUGGUCGACCAAGGUAAUUGCCUCUCAUGUCUGGCAUCCACUUAACAAUCAAGUCCUUUUUUAAUGGAUACUGUAACCCAAAAUACUGAAGUAAUUAACCAGUAAAGAUUCUACUACUAUGGUUCACUGCUAAGUUAACUAUGCAAAAUAACAGUCUAGUAAUCACGGUGACUACUUCAGUGCUACAAUCUUUUGAUUUUCUUACAAAUUUUGACUCAAUCAGAAUGCAAUUCAUGGUCUCACCUGCGUGUAUAUUGGUCGAGCAGCUAAUGUUAGCUUCGAAAGUAACACACCACGAUCUCUUAAUGUCUCUAGUAUAGUGCAUGUCCACCCGGUGCAUAUCACAAUUGAGAAAUAUAUAUUGUUGUUUGGUUUCAUAAGGAGUGGGGGAGAAGAAAAAGAGGCAAAGGGAUACAGUUCCUGGCCUUGAUCAUUGCAGUUCCAUUAUCACAGACAAGAGUGUGUGUAUCCUCAGAGCCAGCCAUCACAUGAUCUCUCUGCAUAGAAACUCAAUGAGGGCAGAAGUUAAUAGAUGGCAGAUCCGAAACAACAUUAGAAUAUUGAAGCUAACAAUCAAGCAACAGAUAGCGAAACAACACCUCUGUGACUUGCCAUUAAACUGCAAAACACCUUCAUGUUUCAUUCCCAUCAUGUAAUUUGUGUGGGAAAAACACAUCUUGCAAACUAGAUUACUGUACCUGUGCAUAGCACCUGGAAGAGCUUGCCAUUUGACUCGCAGCUAGCUUUAGAACUUCCAGCACUACUCUGAAAUGCCCAUGUCCAACAAGCAUAGUAUAUCCAUCACAAACGAAAUCCUGCCUGAGCUUUGCAAUUGUCUUGCAAGCCUGAAAACGCACCAUACCAAAGCAUCAGUAAACAAGGCAUAAAUUCGAGUACAGAAACUAGAAUGUAAGUUCUGGAUUGGCUGACAACCUUUAAAGAUGUCUAUCCAAUUUUUUCUCCACGCUCAGCUAGGCGUGAUUUUGCUGCAUCAAUCAACCAGGAGCAGCACAUGGUACGCCAUCCCGCAUGGAUAGAUCAAGACUCCAAGUUUAUCCUUGUAUGGGAAUUAUUAUAUAUUUAAUUAGAACAAACAUUUCAAACUCGUACCACGCUAGAGUUGUUGUCAACACAUUGUCUCCAUUACCAAUCAGUAGAGCAGAGUUUUGCACGAGCAGUACGUAGAGCAGAAGAUGCAUGAGCCGCAGAGGGGAGGCUCGAGCAGUAGAUGGGCAGGCAUGAAGACAAAGGGGAGAGAAGAAACUACCUGGGUAGAGGAGAUUACGUGGCAGUGCAUGAGACCAACUAUUAGACAGCAUCAACAUACUCGACACCAUCGACACAAACUGGAUCUUAGACAAAGUUGGUGACCGUUGUGAGCAAUAUCUUUCUGUUAGUUCUUUUCAAGUCCGGUCAUGCGCUGGCUUAUUGGACAUGUACGGCAGUUGAAGGUAAUUGCUAUUCCAAUUUAUUUGGAAAAAAGAACGAAAGGAUUUCCAUCUCGGAACAGAAACAUGUUAGCUUUUUUUUUUUCACAGCCACCUUUUCUGCCCUAUUUGUAGGUACUGCUGUCACAAGAACAUUUCAAUUUCAUGCUCGCUCAGACAUUAAGUAUUCUGUUGCAUCAGUUUAUUGUUGUUCUUCUUGCAAAAGAGUGAAUGUACUUACGAUGGAAUUCUUUACUGUCCUUAUUAUUACAGGUACAGCUCCAAUUCGUAUCAAUCAGAAUCCACCUUGUUGGCUGAACAAAGACUACACAAGUACUAUCCAACUGCACUUAAUUUUCCCUGAUUUCUUCUUGCCUGAAACCCCCACAUUGAAAGGUCUAAUUUUCUGUUAUGAUGCGGUUGUUCCUGAAGCUAUCUUACAGCAAAACUGAUUUAUAGACAUCCUCAAACUUUGUUUAUUUAUUCUUCACAGACUAAUCACUACAAUGGCCCGGCAGACCUUGAUACUUACCCUCACAUUCCUCACACUGCUCUGCAUCAUAUUAUCAGUUGCCAUGGGCAUCGAUAACGACUCCACCGACUCUGGUCAGAUCCGCCUAUGUUGUGGAAACCCCAGUCCCAUGGUCGCUGAUGCUAUUAAUCGGGCAUGGUACAGUGACAUGAAUUCCAAGUUUGCGCCAUCAUUACUGGAAAGCUCUGUCGAUGCUUAUGCUUGGUACCCUGACCCUGGACUACCCUCUGCUGCUCCAUACAUAACUGCUCGCAUCUUCACUUCAAAUUACACCUAUUCCUUCCGUGUCAGUUCUGGCCGCAUGUUCUUGCGCCUCUACUUCUUUCCUAUCACGUAUGUCUCCCAAGAUUCCAGUGAGAACUUUACUCCUGAAUAUGCCUACUUUGGUGUCACAGCCUCCAAUCUGACCCUUUUAGAUAACUUCAAUGCCUCCCAAACUGCUCUGGCAACAAAUAGUGGAUUCUUUGUUCUUGAAUACUCUGUAAAUGUUACUGCCGGCAGGCUAGACCUCACUUUCUCCCCAUCCACACACCAGACUGGCUCUUAUGCAUUCAUCAAUUAUAUUGAAAUCGUGCCCACGCCUGACCUCUUCACAACAACGACACCAACACUAGCAAAUGGUGGAAACCCAAAUCCAUUCCCUAUCGAUCCUGCAACAGGUUUCCAAACAAUGUAUCGGCUUAAUGUUGGGGGCCAGGCCAUCUCACCGCAAGGUGAUAUUCGGCCUGUUCGCUUCAGCUUAUUCAUCCGACUUAUCAGCCACUAAAUAGUAUUUUUCUCUCACAACAAAUCAGCCGUUUCAGCUUUUCAGCCAGCUUAUAAGCUGAAGCAAACAGGUCCAUUGACUUUUACCGCCAAUGGGAUGAUGACAGUCCUUACAUAUAUGGUUCUGGUUUUGGGGUGUCCUUUGGGAAAGACAAAAACCUUUCCAUCACAUAUACACCCGGUGUACCAAAUUACACCGCACCUGUUGGUGUCUAUGAAUCUGCACGGUCAAUGGGGACAAAUGCACAGGUCAACCUGAACUCCAACCUUACAUGGAUUUUACCAGUUGAUGCGGGAUUCUUUUACCUGCUAAGGUUCCACUUCUGCGAGAUCCAGUAUCCAAUAACUAAGAUCAAUCAGAGGUCAUUCUUCAUCUACAUCAACAACCAGACAGCACAGCAGCAAAUGGAUGUCAUCGCGUGGAGCGGAGGAAUUGGCAGAACAGCAUACGGUGACUAUGCUAUUUUAACAAAUGGUUCCGGUCGGAUGGACUUAUGGGUUGCCCUUCACCCUGAUCUUUCGUCCAGACUAACGUUUCCCGAUGCACUAUUGAAUGGUCUUGAAGUCUUCAAGCUACAGAAUGAUGAACAUAACAGUCUUGCUGGGCUCGAUCCUCCCCUUCCAUCUGCAAGGAACCCGAAUGGUGCUUUACCAACAGCCAUUGGUAAGCCUGGUGGAAGAAACUCAAAAGGUGUUGCACAAGCAGCGGCUGGUGGAGCUGCUGGUGGCUUUGCUAUUCUGUUGUUUGCCUGUUUUGGCAUGUGCAUCAUCUGCAGGUGCAAGAAGAAUGUAGCAAAGGAUUAUGGAAUGACUGGAGUCAAGGGGAACAUGGAACCUCGUCAUAGAAACGUCACACCUGUUCCGGGAACACAGGAACAAUUUCGCCCUUGGCAUGUCACAAACUUUCGCAAGUAUCAUGCCACAUUCCUUGAUACUGUUCCUCAACCCGAUCGACCUGGGGACAUGGUGACUAUGGGAAGGACUAACAACAAGCACUUGAAUCAAAUUGAGUGCAACAAUAUGCCAUCAAAUCUAUGCCGCCACUUCACCGUCAAGGAAAUCCAGGCAGCUACCAAUAACUUUGACGAAACCUGCCUCCGGGCAAGGGUGGUUUUGGGAAUGUAUACCACGGAAAGUUAGAUGAUAGAGUUAAGGUAGCAAUUAAGCGUGGCAACCCACUAUCUCAGCAGGGUCCCCAUGAGUUCCGAACUGAAAUCGAGACUUUGUCCAUGCUCCGUCACCGCCAUCUUGUAUCUCUUAUUGGAUACUGCAACGAAAAUAAUGAGAUGAUCCUAGUUUAUGAUUACAUGGCGAAUGGUACCCUUCAGGAGCACCUGUACAACACCAAGAAGUCACCUCUGCAUUGGAAGCAACGCCUUGAGAUCUGUAUUGGUACAGCUCGAGGGCUCCAUUAUCUGCACACCGGUGCUAAGCAAACAAUCAUCCAUCGCGAUGUGAAGACUGCCAACAUUCUAUUGGAUGACAAGUUGGUGGCAAAGGUUUCAGACUUUGGGCUAUCAAAGGCCAGUCCAGACAUGGACGACACCCAUGUUAGUACUUUGGUGAAGGGCACCUUCGGAUAUCUUGAUCCUGAGUACUUUCGAAGAAAGCAACUUACCCAAAAAUCUGAUGUAUAUUCUUUUGGGGUCGUGUUAUUUGAGGUUCUGUGUGCACGCCCAGUGAUUAACACUCAGCUCCCGGAGGAGCAAGUGAGCUUGCGUGACUGGGCACUGUCUUGCCUGGAGAAAGAUGUCCUCAGCGAGAUUAUUGACCCUCAUCUCCAAGGGGAAAUAACUCCUGAGUGCUUCAUAAAAUUUGCAGAGAGUGCUGCUCAAUGUGUCGCUGAUCGUAGCAUUGACAGGCCAUCGAUGAGCGAUGUACUUUCGAACCUUGAGGUCGCUCGCCAGCUGCAGGAGAGCUCAAGGGAUAAAAGCAGCGGUGCUGAGGCGAUGGCGUCCCGUGCAAAGACAUGUGUGGAUUCUGCAAAUCCAGCAAAAGACUCAACAAUGAGUGUCGCAGGACAAGGAGUCGUCUUCUCGGAUAUCGCAUAUGCUGAAGGCCGAUAACCGUGAGCUUCAGGUCUAGUUUUUUUAAUUAAUACUCAGGUAUCACUUCUGGUUAGUCUGUAUGGUCCAUAACUGAUUUGGUGAUAUUGUAGAAAUUGCAGAGGACUGAAUGGCAUUAUCUAAUUAACUCAUCAAUGUAUUAGAAAUUUUUCUUAGCAUCUUUGCUUGAAGAAAUCUAAGACGCGUGAAUCAGUGAUAUGCUGCAUACAUACGGAUCCACUUAGGAAUCAUCAAACCCUGUAUGGCUGCUUGUAGAGGCAACAGUCAAUCUUGCGAAUGUUCAAUGUGCAUCCAGGAGCUGAAACAAUGGAACUAACCUAGUUUGUUAAUGAUAUGACCAAACCCCCCAGCAUUUGAGUGAUUGUAGCUCUUUCUAUUUCAGAUGUGCUAUUAUCCUUGUGUAGGUUCACUUUGUAGGAACUUGCCAUGCUUGUCCUCAAACAGAGUUGAGGAAGGACCACUGUUCCAUCCCCACCGAAGAUAUACCUAGUGAUUCCAGUUUAAAUUUAUGAGUGGUGCUUUUUAUGUAGAAUCAAGUAUGAGGAAUCCAGUUUUCAUUUCCUUUGUUUGCUUCUGUGAAAGAAGAUGCCAUCUUCUAUUGGUUAUAUGGUCCCGGACAGUAGCACAGUUACAUUAACCUCCACAGUUUAGGCUUAGAGGUUAGAGCCUUUGUUUUAGUUUUUCUUUGUUUUGAAAGACCCCUUUGUUUUAUUGAAUUGUUCACUCCUGUCUCCUGAACACAAACAUACCAAUCUCUCAUGAUGCUCACUUCCUGAGCUGGGCUCAUCAGUAGCAUGGACGUCCGUCACGAGUCGUUUGGUCCUUGUGCAGUUCAGGCCAUCCCACUUGUCUGGAGCAAUCGACAUUCAGAGUUCAGGCCUGUCUCCCUAGGAUACUCCACAAAUAUUUUUUUUAUCGCUAAACUAGCUAUGUGCAUAUCGGAAUCCUACAGAACUAAGUUUUUUUUUUACGACCGUGCCUUCUGCCUUGGCACGUUUUCCAUUAAGAGAGAAGAAAUAUUGUUACAUCCUAAGCUAUGUCAUACAGAGGAUGACACAGCUGCAAGAAAAGACAACAACUCAACAAGAAGAAAGGAAAAGCAGGCCAAAAACAAUUGGAGACUAUACGGCCAAAAACUAUUGGCGACCUGAUGUUCAUACUUCGUAGUUCGUAUCGUACUAAAUUCGUGUAUAUGGUAACAUUCAAUCGAUACUCAUGUUUUAGUGAAUUCGCUGUUCCACUCUGCUCCCAACAAACUCCCAAGCAGUAAGCGGCGAAGACAAAUGGGCCAUCAAGAGAACGGCCCCGCGUCAGCUGGCGCCGGCCCGCUCGUAGGCAAUGCCUGGCCCGGAGAAGAAAAUCACGAAACGGUGGUUGAACCUGAUCAAUUACAGCGGCCUCACCUCCCUGUAGCGUAGAGGAAUUUCCCCUCUAACGGUCGAACGACUACGGCGCAUAGAUUUCCAACCACUGAUCGAUAAAGUGGCGAGCAAACUGUCAAAGCGGAAGGGAAGGAACCUCACGCAGGCCGGCCGAUUAUGCCUCACCAAGUCUGUCCUAUCCUCACAACCCGUCUACACCCUAACGGCCCUCAGAACGCCCAAAGAAGUACCAGAGGACAUCGACAAAAUAAGAAAACGUUUUCUAUGGGCGGGAGACAACGAGCUUACCGGGGAAAAAUGCAAGAUCAACUGGACGAGGACAACUUUACCGAAAGAGCAUGGCGGCGUUGGAAUUCUAGACCUUCAUAAAUUCGCAAGAGCGCUCCGCCUUAGAUGGCUAUGGCAUGAAUGGGCUUCCCCGGACAAGACGUGGGUCGGAACCGAAACACCAUGCGACGACUGAGAUAGACUGCUUUUCGCUGCAUGUACGACGAUCCAAAUCGGCAAUGGGGACAAGACACGUUUCUGGCAGGAUGCGUGGGUAGCAGGCUGGCGACCAAAGGACAUCGCUCCACAACUCUACGCAAAAACCAAAAGGAAAAAGAAGACAGUGCGAGAGGCAAUCCACAACAACAACUGGAUCAGAGAUCUUCAACACACAACAGGCCUUACAAACACCCUCUUGAACGAAUUCGUAGACCUAUGGCCUCUGAUCCAACAGUACCAAUUAAACCCGAGUCAGGAGGACGGAAUUACAUGGAAAUUCACCCAGAGCGGUCAAUACACCACCGCUUCAGCAUAUAAGGCUCAACUCCUAGGUAGCGUGAAGGCGACUAAUCUUGCAACAGUGUGGCAAGCCUGGACACCAGCAAAAUGCAAAGUUUUCGUCUGGCUAAUUCUCCAAAAUAGGGUCUGGACUUCGGACAAACUAGCAAAACGGGGCUGGGACCACACCCCAACAUGCACCCUAUGCCGAUGCACGAUGGAGACUGCGCAUCAUCUCCUAGCCGAAUGAAGAUACACAAAGCAAAUUUGAAAACUCGUGGCCCAAUGGUUGUCACAAGAAAGCCUGCAACCGGGUCAAUGAAAGCACAGCAUAACGGCCAUAGAUUGGUGGACCAAUAUCACAUCAACAAUAGGAAUCCCGCGUAAAGCGUCCCGAAACCUCGCCCUCCUCAUUAUGUGGGAAAUAUGGAACGAGCGAAACUCCCGUAUCUUCCGCCACCAGGGUUCCCCGAUGACAUCACUAAUGACGAAAAUCAAAUCCUCAACCAACAUGUGGGUAGCAGCGGGAGCGAGAGGCCUAGCGGCCCUUCUUUACUAAACACAACACUCUGGGUGCCUCCCUGCUCUUUUUUCCUUUUCCUUUUUCCCCUCCUCUAUGAAUGAAAUAGGCACACUCUCGUGCCCUCUUCCGUUCAAAAAAAAUUACAGCGGCCUCCACGCGAGUGCGGCGUUGUACCGUUGAGCACCGGCCGCCGCCACUCGAUGGCCUACUGCGGUCGCCAAGAAGGCGCCCGCGAGCGGCGCCGGCAUUGGCACGGCCACUCAGGGCGAAGUGACGAGUCGAGCUCGAGCACCGAUGCGGGCGGGGUGACUGGAUGGCGCACGCACGCAUGAGUUGGCGUCGUCCGCAUGCUCAGGGAGACUGCGCACAGGCGAAGGUGAGGCCGCGAUCCUCUUUCACGGCGUGUUGCCACCAUGGCGCGCUUUAGCUGUUCGAUGAAAUGCCUGCACUGAGAACCAGUAUCAAAUAUGGAUCCGUAUCCUCUGCCUUUGAGGCCAACGGGGUGCAUUUCCAAACCUUAAUGCAUUCUUUGCUUUGUAGGUGCUGUAUAUGCACCUUUAUUAUUUGCACGUUUUCAAACACGCACUUGCAUAGUUGGCUAGUUGCAUAGCAUUGCACGGUGUCUUUACUUGGCUUGCUUGUACUUGUGUAAUGUAUCUGAUAUGUGUUUAGUACUUUAGUUAUACUUGUUUACCGUUCAAAGCAGAUGAACAUUGACUCGACAGCAACCAAGCACUCGUUUUGCAUAAAUCCAAAAGUCCUUCUGUUCCACUUGCAUACAUUGGACAGUAUCUUCCAAAGGGUCUAGCUGCCAUUCAGUCGAACCCACGACUGAGACUGGGAGGAUGUAAAUUUUGUCUAUGAAUGUGACAUGAGACUUCCAGCAGUCCACACAUACAGUUAUUAACAAUAAAACAUCAAAUCAUCAAUUUGAUGUACUGGAAAUGUAGAUGAUUGUAGGUGAUGUACUUUCCAGGUUUUGCAUUAACAACAGAAGCAUCUCUAGCUCUGAUUGGUUGAGUCAGCAAUCGCCAACCAAACACUUAGUCUCGGUGUAACCCCAGAUAUUUUUGAGUUUUCCAUCAGGAUUCAUGACUUGGGAGUCCAGGCCAUCUCAAAAAGAAAAGUCCAACUUGUAAACCAAAUUUAAAUUUGAAAGAAAAAACAUUGUAGUCAUAGUUGAUUUGGAACCAUAGAUGAUGAUUGCCUAAUGUUCAAUUAGCAUGCCCACUGCAGCCUUUCAGUUCCAACUAGAAGCAUCUCUACUUCUGAUUUGCAGUUUUUCAUGUUAUAUUGAGCAAAUUAUGCAAAGGCAACACACCAGAUUGCCAAAACAAAAAGGUAAAAGGAGAAGAAUCUAUGCAGCCUUUUUUAGAAAAUUGAGAAAGUAGUAUAUCCACAUAAUUUUGCAUUAGAUUAUUCUUUCUGGCUUGGAAAAUUGAAGUACUAAAAUUGAAUCCCUCAAAUCAAAAUAUGAAAAUUAAUAAAACAACAGGGGCUUGUUUGUUGGCAAUGGCCAAGGUAAGCUCCCUGAGCUUACUCCCUCACCCACACACACUCAGGCCAGAGGUAGAAGAAGGUGAGAAAGAGCACAGCACACACACAACUAUCUGUUGCUGCUGAACUGCGUGAGCUGCAGGCCUGCAGCUGCUCAUCCACUCUUUAUAGAGCACAAAGUCAAAAUAGAGUACACAAACCUAUGAGUGUAUCUACCAACUACUAGUACUAUAUACAUGACAGGGCUUACUGCCCACUACUCACGGCACUGCUGCCUUACACGGCAGACAGUGGCCAUUCAGGCCAUUCAGCCGGCCAAGGAGCUCUACCUGCUCCAUUGACUUUGCAAAAGGAAGAGAGAAGCAAUGAGCUGAGCAAUUAACUAACAUUGUUCAUAAAAAUUUAGCAUCCGAUUCUUCUGCAAAGCUCCACCCCCUCAUCUCUUUACCUUCCAAAUUUUUUGACAACAGCUGCUCAGUCACCUAUCCUGCAGGAUAGCACACCUUCCUCAUCAGGUAACUUUAAGUUGUUAGCUUGUUUAUUGUAUCGUUUCCAGCUUCAGUUUUUAGCUCAUUUUGUAUUCUUUUGGCUCCUAGAUACACAGAAGCUCCUUAUUUCCUCAUCAGAUGUUGUAGUCUUUGAUUAACAUGCUUAUAUCUCAACUUUUAGCUUUUACUCGAUGUUUCUGUUUUAUUCUGUGAUUCAGGCAGUGUGAAGAUCUUUGUUGUUACUUCUUCACCAUGUGUACUGUCUAAGACCAUAAAUUUAAUCAUGAAUGUCUUUUUAUAAGCACAUGAUUUUUCUUAGGCCUAAUUUUGACUGAAUAGCUCAAAAGUCAGAAGACAUCUUCCAAAACAUUUGGGGCUGUUUGCUUCGGACCUGGCAGGCAGCUCUGUAGCCAGGCAGCGAUCUCCACCCCAGGCUGAUGAAAUCAGACGCCUGGGGAAGCUGCCUGCGCCAGGCAGCUUUGCCAGGACACCAAGCACUUACUAUUGUGCACCUAAUUCUACAAGAUGCAAUCCUUAUAUUUUUGGCUCCCAUAUUAUUGUGCUUUUUUUUUGAGAAUCCAGGAGGGGUUGAGAACCCCUACUGAUUAAUUAUAUAUAUAGGUAAAAAAAGGUUCGAAACCAAGGAAUACAAUUAAGAAACAAAAGAGCAGGAGAAAAAAGACUGAAGACGAAAAAGAAGGAAAGAAGAUACAAGCGGAAAGAAGAAAAAAUUAAAGAGAGUGAAUCCAAUCUUCGAGCCGAGAACGAUGUCUUGAAUUGAUCCGGAGCAAGAGAUCCUUGAGUUCAGAGACAAAUUUGUGCUUACAAUCCAAGAUGAGAGGAUCAAUAUUGUUGAACAUCCAGUUGUUUCUUGUUGUCCAGAUGCUCCACUCCAUCAGGAUUAUAAUCUCCAUCGAAAAUGGUGUUCCUAAUUUCCUUCUUAUUUGCUCUAAUAUGUUCAAGAUCGUCCUUGUAUGCACAUAAGUAAUCCCAAUGCUUCUCCAGCAAGCCUUUGCAAAGUUGCAGCGGAAAAAUAAAUGAUAUGUAGUCUCUCUUUUUUGUCUGAUGCAGAGCUCGCAGUUGUAAGACUCCAGUGCCAUCUGUCUUCUUCUUAGAAGAUCUCUCGUGUUUAGUCUGUCCACAAGCAGUAGCCAGAAGAAGAUUUUGUGUUUCCUUUGACAUUUCGAUUUCCAUAGCCAUUUGAAUGCUUGGUGUACAUUCCUAGUACCCAUGAUGGAAUGGUAUGCCCUUUUGGUAGAAAAUAUAGGUGAUCCCCAUAUAUAGGACCAAAUGUCAUUUUGUAAGUCCAAAUGAAUUUCGGCGGUCUGAUGUUGCAACAUCAUCAACUGGUCAUGUGCCUCUGUUGACAGUGGAGUGUUAAAGUUUUCUAUGAAAUUUGCCUUUUCUUUGACUGACUUGAAUGAUGCAUUUGUGUCCCUUGCAAAGGAGAGAAGUUCUGGAAAGAGUUGUGCUGGAAUGCCCCCUUGCCACAAGUCAUGCCAAAAUAGCACUGUAGAGCCAUUUGCUAUUGUAGCUGACGCAAUUCCUUUAUAUUUAUCUUGAAGUUUAAGAAUGUCCUUCCACCAAAAGGAACCUCUACUUUGCCCUACUGGAAGCUUUCCAUUUGAGUAAUAUUUGUUCCAUAGUAAGGUUACCCACGGUAUGUCUUCUUUGGAGUAGAAUUUGUGUAGAAAUUUCAUUAGCAUGGCUUCAUUGUGUGCAACUAUGUUUAUCACCCCUAGACCGCCAUUUUCUUUAGGGUGACAAACCAUAUGCCAGGCUACCUUUGAUGGCUUUGUAGAGUUUGGAUCUAACCCCCUCCAAAGGCAAUGUUUUCUGAAUUUAUCAAUCUGAGCUAUUACUCCCUUAUGCAAUUUAAUAGUCGAGCAAAAGAAAACCGCUGACGAGGAAAGGACUGAGUUAACCAUUUCAAGUUUCCCUCCUUGGCUGAGAAACAUAGACAUCGAAUUCAAUCUUUUCUCCAUCCUUUGAAUGAGCGGCAUGAAGUGCUCGAUCUUGGGUUUGACUAACCCCAAUGGCAGACCCAGAUAGGUGAAAGGGAGAGAUCCUUGCUGACAUUCAAAGCUUUGUGCUAGAAAUUGUAGUCUUUCUUCUGUAAUAUUGAUAGGCAUCAUCACAGAUUUAGUGUAGUUGACUUUGAGGCCAGUUGAUAGAGCAAAAAUAUGUAAGACUUCCUUCAGGACCCUCAACUGAUUAGGACAGGCUUCCAUGAAGAGAAGAGUAUCAUCAGCAUAUUGAACUAUUGGAAAAUCCAUUCCUGCCCCUUCCUGGAUAGGGAGAUUUAAAUUCCCUAAUUCCUUCUCAUGAUUAAGAAUAGACUGUAAAACAUCCACUGCGAGUACAAAUAAAAGAGGUGAUAGGGGAUCUCCCUGCCUCACUCCUCUUUUACAGUGGAAGAAUUUCCCCGGCACUCCAUUCAAAAGGACUGAAGAUGUCCCAGAACCAAGGAUUUGUUGAAUCCAUUGAACCCAUCUGCUGCCAAAACCUUUGUGCUUUAAGAUUUCUAUGAUGGCUUUAUGCUCGAUCUUGUCAAAUGCUUUUUCGAAAUCCAGCUUGAGAACCACUAUUUGUUUCUUCGACUUUUUGCAAAUAUGUAGGAAUUCGAAGGCCCAUGCUAGACAAUCUUGAAUAUUCCUUGUUUUGAUGAAGCCAUAUUAAUUUUUGUGAAUAAGAGACCUUAUGACUUGCUGCAGUCUCUGAGCUAGGAGCUUUGUUAUUAAUUUAAUGGUUGAGUUAAGCAGGGAUAUUGGUCUAAAAUCUCCAACAUAUAGAGGACUCUCCUUUUUCGGCAGUAAGGCUAUGAAAGAGGAGUUGAUACUUUGUAAGCAUAAAUCCCCAUGAAAGAAGCAUUGAACUAGAUUGUAGAAAUCUUGUUUGAUAAUAUGCCAUGUUCUUUUAAGGAACUCUCCAUUAAAUCCAUCUGGUCCUGGUGACUUAUCAUUUGGCAGCUGUGCUAUAACAUUGUCAAUUUCUUCUUCUGAGAAUGGUUCUUCUAGCCACUGAAGGUUUGUCUCUCUUUGUAGUAAAAGUUGUAAAUCAAGAUACAUGUGAGUGUAUUCUGAUGUGCCCAUUCUUUCUUUGAACGAUUUCCAUAAUAAUUCAGCUUUUGUUUCAUGCUCUGUUAUUUGUGUUCCAUUCUCCGAAAAUAGAUGUGUAAUAGAAUUCUUCCGGUUUCGAACUGAGGCUUGUGCAUGGAAGAACCUGGUGCACUCAUCUCCCGACUUGAUCCACCUGACUUUCCCCCUUUGCUUCCAGUAGAUUUUUUGCUGAUGUAAAAGAUUUUCCAGAUGCAGCUGUAUUUCUUUCCUGAAAAUUUCAUUCUUCAAUGGUUAAAUCCCUAGAUUCUUCAAUUAUGUCCAUAAACUGCAAGAUGGUUUUGUUGUUUUGAAUUGUAGAGGUUAAAUUUGGCAACUGGGCUUUCCAAGCUUUCAAGACUCGACGUAGGUUUUUGAAUUUGGCAGUUACUCUUUUAGCCUGGUCCAAAUGAUCCAACGGCAAAUUCCAAGCAUGCUGUAAUAUGGGAGUAAAGUGCUCAUGUUGCAACCAAUAAUUCUCAAAACGAAAAGUGGCCGGCCUGGGCAUCUUCGUUUGCACAGAUAUGACACAUGGGGUGUGAUCAGAGAUGUCUCUAGAGAGAGCCAUUACCGUUGAGUUAGGGAAGAAAGUGGUCCAAGCUAUCGAAGUGAAAAACCAAUCCAGUCUCUCUAGGAGAGGAUUUCUCUGUUUGUUUGUCCAAGUAAAGCGGCAUCCCUUUAGGGGCAAUUCGAUGAGUCUUAAUUUGCUAAUGCCAUUGUUAAAAGCUAACAUUUCUUGACAGUUGGCCCCUGGCUUAUUCCGGUCUUCCGGUCUUCUCAAGAGAUUGAAGUCUCCGACUAUCAGCCACUUAUCCUCAUCUGCAAUGUCGAUUUCUUUAAACCAUCUGAUGAAUGUUGCUUUCCCUUCCGGAGUGCAUGGAGCAUAUAUAUUGGUGAGGUACCAUGAAUACCCAGAUACUAAACAAUUGAUUAGUACUGUCUGAGCAUAAUCAUUCUGAAAUUCAAGAUUUGCACAAAAUUUUGAACUAUUCCAUACAAUGAUGGAACCUCCUGAGUUUCCUACCGAGGGUAGAAAGACAAAGGCAUCCAUUUGAGGGGGGCAGAACUUUUUAAUAUAUCCGGAGUCAAUCUCCUCUCUUUUUGUUUCUUGUAAACACAGAAUGUCACACCCAGAUUCUUUAAUCUUGCUAUUGAUAGCUUCCCAUUUUGCUAUAGAAUUUAAUCUCCUGAUAUUCCAAGAAAGAAUGACCCAAGUUCUAUUUCUUUGAAUUUGAUUCAUAAUAGAUAUUGGAUGGGUUCUGUGAAUUCGGGAGAGCAAAUCCUACUACGAUUAACAUCUGUCAAAGCCUUGCUCAUGUUCUGUAGAUAACAAUACGACAUUGCAGCCAGGAUAAUAAAGUUCCAGCUAACUUGCUGAAUAACCUUCCAGACAACCAUAGACAUCACAUUGUUCGAAGGACGAGUACCCAUAACAAAAUACAAAGCUGGAUGAGGUGUUAACCUCUCCACAGAAUUCCAAACAUUGUUUGACGAUAUAAGAAAAGGUAGAGGGAAGACAAGAUUCCAAAAAGACCACAAAGAUUUCAGGACCUGGAGCCUGUACCCGAGCACUCCCCUUCUUCCAGAUCCUGGGACAUCUCAUCCUUCUUGUUUUUCUUGGAUCCUGUCCCUUCUUUGUCACCUAUCACCUUGACUUUAACUAUUUUCCUCCUGAGCUUUUCAUUAGAUAAGGUUCCUUUGCUGACUUUGUAGAAGUCUUCUCCCAGGGCUACCAACGUUUUUGUGGGGAGACUCGGAGGGACUGCGGCACAUGCAAGGCAGUUCCUGGAAGUGCAGCUGGAGUGCUUGAAACCUGCAUUCCGAGUCCUGAUUCUUGGACUCCUCCUGGCUUCUGUUUCCACCAAUGGUGCUGAAACCUUUGUUUUUUUCUGGCCACGAGAAUUAGAGUCAGAGUUAAAUCUAUUCUCAACUUGAUCUUGGACAGGACUAGAGGAACAAAUAAUGUUUGCUUGUUUGGGACAAGAUUUUGGUAUUGACAUAGUCACAGUUUUACUGUUACUGGUACCCGUUAAUAACAGUUGACUUGCUUUUGAGGAUAAAAAGGAGCAUGCCCAUUCAAACUUAUUGGAGUUCAAAAGGUUGAAAGUAAAGAAAGGUGCCCAUUCGUUGGGUAAAGUGAUCACCUUUUCUGGGGAACCAUCCACUGUGAAGAAUCUAUCCCAUAGUUGUUGCAGGUCUGGACUGGUGCUCCUUGCCUUUUUCCCCUCCCUCAGCCAGUCAGCCCAUCCAGGAUCGGCUACAGAAUUGGGAAGAGCUUCUACCCUGAACAUGUUGAGGUUGAAGUCGUUGUUUGGCAUGUUAUCUGGGCCUGCCUCUUGAGCUGGUUGAAUUGGGUGAAGGAAUUCCGGCAGGUAGUUGUCCAGUUGCAUGUUCUGGGCCUCCAUAGCUGGCUCUUGGGGCUACAUCAUGUAUUCAUUAUUGGCCUGCCCAGGUUGAUGCCCUUGAAUAUUUUGGAUGGCGGGAAUGGCCAGGACAAUCUCCUGUACUUGGACUUUCUCCUCUUGUCCCUCAUUUUGCUGGGUAUCUUCACUUAACAACUUUCCUUGUUUGUCACUGCCUUCUUCAGUCGAAGAUGAAUUAAGAGGUGCAGACAGGCUCAACUGCAAGUCCAUCUCUAUCUGUCCUUCUUCAUGCUGAAUGUCUCCUUGCUCAGGUGCUUGAUCCUGAAGAUCAUCCAUCAGCAUUUGCAUCUGCUCCUGUAUAUGUUCCUCUUCAUCAGGGUCUUCAUUAAGAUCUGGGAGCUGGUCGACUUGUUGGUUGUUCUGUGCUUGUUCCAGAAGAUGCUGCUCAUGCUGCUGGUGGUGGUUUUGUAGAUGUUGUUCAUGCUGUUGUGGCUGAUUGUGGAAACCAGGGAAGAUGAAAUUGUCCUCAAAUCUUGGAGGUGGAAUAUCUUCAUCCUGCAAGAACCCACCUAGAGGAUUUUGCUGCAUUAUUUCUACCUGUACAGUUGUUGAAACACCUUCAAAAUCAUCACCUUCUGAGAAAAUCAAGUAAUGUGGCACAUCCUCCAAAUCAGUUACUCUCGCCUUCACCACCACCCUGGCCAUGAUGUUGUCUUUCUGCCAGCAUAUCAGUCUCCCAAAAGAUUUAAUGGCAUCUCUAAUAUCAUCAAGAUUCCGAGAAUCCAAAGGGUAUCCUAUCAAAAGCAGCCAGCAUUCUCUGUUGAACAGUACUCUCCUAGCAUUUGGCCCCCUAUUGUGAUGCACAAAGGAAAAGGACAAUCCAUUCCGAUUGAAAGGACUGUGUUGAACCAAAGCAUCUCUAUCUGUUGCUCGAUUUAAUCUGAUAAAAGCUUGAGCUCUAUGAAAGGGGCAGCGCUGGAUUUCUUGGAUAUGAAGUUCCAACUCAUCCUCUAUCAGGCCGACUACUGCAUUUUGGACGUCGGCAAAAGGAAUCUCACCGGGAGGGAAGUUGCUGACGGUGACGAUUGCUAGAUCUUCAUUCCCUGGUGGUGAUCUUGGAGUAACCACCCUGGUGAACUUUGGUCUUCCUUGAACCAGAACACGGUUGAAUCCAGGGAACAUCAGAGGUUCAGGAUCGACAUUGAGGAAGGCCAUCUGUGUUGGUUGAUUCAGACUUUCGCCGGAGAUUGCGAGGAGGGGAGGGGCUUGUUCUUGGCGAAAGGGGACUAGUUGCUGAUCGGUAGUGGGAAAUGAAGUAGCCGAAGGGACGUUUCCUUGAUAUCUGCGCGCUACCUGCCCCAACUCGGUCAAGGAGGAGCAAACUGGUGGGCUUGAGUAAAUAGGCCCAUUGUGUGUCUCGAGACGGCCUUUGAACCAGUUAAGCCCAACGCCUUUAGGCCAUUUACUUACAGCAGAGACCGGUGAAAAGUUACUCGAAGGCGCUGCAGUGAAAGAGGCUUUAAACCUCUGUAAAUCUAGCCAAUUAAGACACUUUUGGAACCUAUGCCCUGGCUGCUUACAAUGCCAGCAAGUAGGCUGUCUUGAGAAGGCCCUAAGCAGGUGGUUGGAGGUUGCUCUUUCUCCUUGGCCACUGUGAACAGUAGCAUAGUCUGAUAGAAUCCUCUUCCCAGAUUUUGUAUCAGAAGACUUUUGACUGACGUAGCUCUUCCUUGAAUUGUGGCUGAACCUCGAUACUUGUUGCAUUGGAUUCUGUAAUCUUUCAAAAACUGAUCUUCUCUCUGGGUACUGGAUUCUUUGGAAGACCGAGAGGCGAGGUAAAGAGAAAUCUGAUUCCGGGGAGGCAAGGCCUAAUCCUUUGGGAUUGAUAAGAGGUCUCCCCGAAAUACUAUCAGGCCUAGCGCCAAUCCUCUUAUUGUUAAUAGGAAUAGCAUUAGCCCCUGUUAGGGGAAUAUUAUGUCUAACCACUGAGGCAAAAGAGGGAGGCCUAUUCUGACCAGGAUGAAAAGAUCCCGAAGGAAGACGAGCUGGAAUUACCUGCUUCAAAGAUGAGCCUUUAUUCUUGUAUGUCACAGACUGCCAAUGGUAUGAGGGUCCAGAAUCCAUCUUUGCAAAAUGUAGAGCUUGAUUGAAUUCAGUAGAAAAAAGGAUAGCUUGAAGAAAUCCGAAGACAAAAGACCCCUAUCAAUGAUGAGAAAACCCACUUCCCUUGAGCUGACUGUGAAUUUGAAAACCUGAUCCUCCAGUUCUUCAGCCUGGAAGAGGUCAUAGUGGCCACCCAAAACAGAUUGCAAGCAAACGUUGACAGAGUCUGAGGUGAGAUGAAAUCUGUUUUGACUAAAAGAUACUAGCAGGUGAAAGCCUUUUCCUGCUAGCUUCCUAUCUAGAGUUACCUUUGAGUUAAGGCAAUCCUGAAUCCUUUUCUCAAAAGCAAUCCCAAUGCCAAAAUUAAAUUUGGAGGAAUCCAUCCGGAAUGAACAAGGCAAGAGAAAGAAGGACCAAAGCCAAAGGCUACUCAACUUUCCUCAAGGAGCCAAGAACGUAACUUGGCAAAAAAGGAAGGUUGGGAUCAAACAAAAGCCCGCAACGAUCAUGAGCGAAGGAUGGUUGAUGAAGGACCAGUUUUGGAAGAAGAUAGCUUUUGAAGAGAGUGAACGACGAAAACCGAAACUAAAGACAUAGGGUCUAGCUCGUGCCAAGGCAAGAUAUUCGCCUUGAGCUAAAGGGCAACAACAUGAUCCAUAACAGAUUACCUUGCCGUCAAGCACUUCCUAGGGAUAGAGGAUCUUUGCUCGGUAGAAACACUUAAGACUGCCAUCUUCCUCUAAGCAACCAAAGAUGUCACCUCCAAGAGGUGAGAAACUUGCAGAGCCCAGUGAAGCCUGGGUCGCCUUCGUCAGGAAGGGGAAGCCAGGCUUGAGAUGGCCGGCGAAGUCGAAGAGACUGAUGUCGGGUGGGAGGUGGACGCCGGGACCGGAGUGGUCACCGGCGGGAGAGAGCACUCUCUCUCAGGCUCUCUCAGGCUCUCACCUGAUCUUCGUGCUUCCUUGGUUCGAACUAGCACUGCUCCUCCCUAGAUGCUUGCUAGUUUUUCUCAAAUCCUUCAUGGUUUGCUUGCAGUCGGCAUCUGGGCGGUUAUCAGACAGCAACUCAAGCUUAAAGUUUCUAUAUUAUUGUGCUUGCUACAAUCAACUCAUGCAGAGGCCGAAAAAAAAACACUAAUCCUUUUCUAAGGAAAAAUUCAACUCUGCUGGCUCCGACCAAUGUUUGUCGAAAGCCUUGACCUUACCUUUGAUCCAUCACCCGAAGGCUCCUAUACAUUUGAAAAUGGUACCAAAUCGUGCCGAUGACUGGCGUAUUCACAAAACCAGUUCUAAAACUUGCCAUUUGCCAAUAACAAAAAGGCCUUUUCCAGUAAUCCUCUUCAGGUAACACCUCAAUGUAGGGUCCCACACGUUUCCACAAAAGAUGAUUUAGGGAGUGUUUGGAUACCAUGUGCUAAACUUUAGCCGUGUCACAUCGGAUGUUUGGAUGCUAAUUAGGAGGACUAAACAUGAGCUAAUUAUAAAACUAAUUGCAGCCCCUAGGCUAAUUCACGAGACGAAUCUAUUAAAGCUAAUUAAUCCAUCAUUAGCAAAUGGUUACUGUAGCACCACAUUGUCAAAUCAUGGACUAAUUAGGCUUAAUAGAUUCGUCUCGCGAAUUAGACUCUAUCUGUGCAAUUAGUUUUGUAAUUAGCCUAUGUUUAAUACUCCUAAUCAGUAUCCAAACAUCCGAUGUGACAGGUGCUAAGCUUUAGCACGUGGGAGCCAAACAUGCCCUUAUUCAACCUCUUUCACCUUGUUGGACAAUGUUUUUUUAGAUAAUGAAGAAGUCCAUUUGAUCCUCCAAUUACCACAAGAGUCCGUAUUCAACUCCAGUACCAGACAGCAUUAGCCGCUGAACUUUGGAAACUGGACAAAGACCUCCCUCAUCCAAUAGAACCAGGUUUUGGUGCUGAGUUGGCAAAAGUCUCGGUAUCUGGCUGCUGACAUGGCAUAUUCAUGGCAGUGGGGACCACCUUUCACCCUUCACCUCAUCUCUUCCUCUUUUUCGAGAAUACGCAGGAGAGCUGCGUAUCUUUGUAUUAAGAAGAAGAGUAAUAAAAAGUUUUACAAUGCUAGCCAACCGGGCACACGCACACGGUUUGAUUACUUAGAGUUCUAUUACAUAGGAACUGAAUCAACUAGAGAUACUUCUGAUGAAGGCCAAGAAACUAAGAGGAUCCUAAACCUCCUACUCCUUGUACUGCAGCCGGCCAUCCCAAGGAAACCAUAUGCUUAGCGCCAGCUUCGAUCCAUACUUGAGCCUCUUCGAGGAUCCCAUAUGUCAAUUGUGCCGCAGUUUUUGUUUGAUUUCUGCUAAAUACUCUGUCGUUCCUUUCUUUCCAAAGUUUCCAGGAGAUCAACAUGAAUGUGGAGUCCAAUCCUUUCUUCUUGGAUUUGUUCAUUCCCAGCCUCUUUUGCAGCCACCAUUCUAUUGCUGUCAGUCCAGGACUAGGAGCUGGGCAUUGCAGGCUCAGCAUUCUGCUGACUGCGUGCCACAUCUCCUGGGUAUAGCAACAUGUAGCGAAUAAGUGGUCAGCUGUCUCCAAUUCCUGAUCGCAAAGUGCGCAUGCUGUGUUGUCCUGCAGCCCGUGCCUGUGUCUCCUAUCUGCAGUCCACAACCUAUCUCUGACGGCCAGCCACAUGAAGAAUUUCACCUUCAGCGGCGCCCAAGUCUUCCAGAUAGCAGCAGCUGCAGGAAAAUGCGUCACUCCUUGGAAUAAGAACUGGUAUGCAGACUUUGCUGAGUAUGUGCCCGACGGGUCCCAUUUCCAGGAGAUGAUGUCUUCAGUUCCAGGCUGAAGUUGAAUCUCAUGCAUUGUGUGCCACAGCUGCACAUACUGAGAUAAAGCGUUAACUGUUAGUCAUCCGAUAAUAUCUCCCUGUUUGCUCGUGUGUUCCGUGUGCUCCCUCCACCACAGCGUUGUUCUAGGCAGGGCCAGUGUGAUGUUGACUAGGAUGCCUGCAACAACCCACACCAUCCGCCAUUUUUCUGCUCAACACCACCACACGUCCACACAGCAGCAGCAAGAAGAAGAAGGCAAGUGCUUGAUUAUUCCAGUGAAGGAGGGGCAGGUUGAGGUGGCUUGCUACUUACCGAGUUACCAUAUCUUACCUUGUUACACUCUGCAGCCUUGUCAUGCUCCCUUGCUCCCCACUUCCUGAGUUCCCACAUUCAUCACCUACAACCAUGACAUGAGUGCUGGAACGGUGGAUCGUUUCCACCAGAGCCUGCAGCCUCAUGAUUCAUGAAGUAGCCAGUGCCCACAAAGGCCCUACGGGUGGAAGCCCAGUGAUGCAGCUGGUUUAAGGUCAAUAAAAGAGGAGCAUGGCAUUGGACAAGCCAAGACAAAUAUGAGGAUGGUUGUGGCACAGCCAGAGAGACUCACUACUAGUUAGCCGGAAAAGGGCCAACUUUGGAGGACUGAAUCCGUUGUAGUCAAAUUUCAUGAUCGCUCUUAAUUAUUAUUUUGCAUCCUUUUAUCGUUGUUCUUUCUUUUUUGCGAAUAAUAUCGUUGUUCUUCUUGCAAAAGAACUAGUAUGCUUAAGUUGAAAUCUUUAUUCUCAUUGCAGGUUUUUAACGACCUGAAUCUGCCUUGUUGACUGAAAAAAUACUAGAAAAGUUCUAUCCCAACUGCCCUUCAUUUCCAUGGUUCUUUCUUGCUCAAAACCGCAGAUGAAAAGGUCUAAUUUUCUAGUAUGAUGCAGUUUUUCAUAGAGCUAUCUUACAGCAAGAUGUAAAGAGAUCUUCAAACUUAAUGUAUUCUUGAGACACCAACCACUACAAUGGCAUACCAGACCUUGCUAGUUACCCUCACAUGCCUAACAUUGCUAUGUAUCUUGUCAAUGGCCAUGGCAACUGAUAAAAACUCCACUGGAUCCGGCCAGAUCCGUCUAAAUUGUGGAGCCUCCAAUCCAACAAGUCCUGGUGCUGAUGGACAGACUUGGGACAGUGACACCGGUUCCAAGUUUGCGCCAUCACUGGAAGGCACUGCUGCCACUGCUUCUCACCAAGACCCUGCACUAACUUCCACUACGCCCUACAUGACUGCUCGCAUCUUCACUUCGAAUUACACUUAUUCCUUUCCUGUUGGUCCAAGCCGCACGUUUGUACGCCUCUACUUCUAUCCUAGCACUUAUGGCAACUAUUCUCCUUCAAAUGCCUACUUUGGUGUCACGGCAAGCAAUCUGGUCCUUUUAGACAACUUCAAUGCUUCCCAAACUGCUUUGGCAGCUAAUGUUGCCAGCUUCUUUCGUGAAUACUCUGUAAAUGUUACUUCAAGCAACCUACACCUUACGUUCAGCCCAUCUGCACACUAUAAUGGCUCUUAUGCAUUUGUGAAUGGGAUUGAAAUCGUGCCCACACCUGACCUCUUCACGACACCAACACCAACACUAGCAAAUGGUGGAAACCCAAAUCCAUUCCCCAUUGAUCCUGCAACAGGUUUCCAAACAAUGUACCGGCUUAAUGUGGGUGGUCAGGCCAUCUCUCCACAAGGUGAUGUUGACUUUUACCGCCAAUGGGAUGAUGACAGUCCUUACAUAUAUGGUUCUGGUUUUGGGGUAUCCUAUGGGAAAGACAAAAACCUUUCCAUCACAUAUACACCCAGUGUACCAAAUUACACCGCACCUGUUGGUGUCUAUGAAUCUGCACGGUCAAUGGGGCCAAAUGCACAGGUCAACCUGAACUACAACCUUACAUGGAUUUUACCGGUUGAUGCGGGAUUCUAUUACCUGCUAAGGUUCCAUUUCUGCGAGAUCCAGUAUCCAAAAACUGAGGUCAAUCGGAGGUCAUUCUUCAUCUACAUCAACAACCAGACAGCACAGCAGCAAAUGGAUGUCAUCGCAUGGAGCGGAGGAAUUGGCAGAACAGCAUAAACAGACUACGUUAUCAUCACAACUGGUUCCGGUCAGAUGGACUUAUGGGUUGCCCUUCACCCUGAUCUUUCGUCAGGACCAGGGUACUAUGAUGCAAUAUUGAAUGGUCUCGAGAUCUUCAAGAUACAGAAUUACGGAAAUAACAGUCUUAAUGGGCUCAACCCUCCUCUUCCAUCUGUUGAACCUGAUGGGAAGCCUGGUGGAAGAAACUCAAAGGUUGCUGCACAAGCAGCCAUUGGUGGAGCUGUUGGUGG
rnacentral:lncRNA from 1 species